rnacentral:rRNA from 1 species
AGUGAACGCUGGCGGCGUGCUUAACACAUGCAAGUCGAACGAGAACGGAAUAUAGCUUGCUAUAUUUGUCAGCUAAGUGGCGCACGGGUGAGUAAUGUAUAGAUAACCUGCCCUUAAGAAAGGAAUAACAGUUGGAAACGACUGCUAAUGCCCUAUAUGCCUUUAGUACAUAAGUAUGCAAGGGAAACGCUUUAGUGCUUAAGGAUGGGUCUGUAUGGUAUCAGCUUGUUGGUGAGGUAAUGGCUCACCAAGGCUAUGACGCCUAACUGGUUUGAGAGGAUGAUCAGUCACACUGGAACUGAGACACGGUCCAGACUCCUACGGGAGGCAGCAGUGGGGAAUACUGCACAAUGGACGAAAGUCUGAUGCAGCAACGCCGCGUGGAGGAUGACACAUUUCGGUGCGUAAACUCCUUUUAUAUAGGAAGAUAAUGACGGUACUAUAUGAAUAAGCACCGGCUAACUCCGUGCCAGCCGCCGCAGUAA